rfam:Caenorhabditis briggsae complete genome, chrI
GCCGGGGUAGCCAAGUGGCAAAGGCGCGGGCCUUAAGAACCUGUGGAUAUAUAUCCUUUAGGGGUUCGAUUCCCCUCCCCGGCA